GGGUUGUGAGGUUAAGCGACUAAGCGUACACGGUGGAUGCCCUGGCAGUCAGAGGCGAUGAAGGACGUGCUAAUCUGCGAUAAGCGUCGGUAAGGUGAUAUGAACCGUUAUAACCGGCGAUUUCCGAAUGGGGAAACCCAGUGUGUUUCGACACACUAUCAUUAACUGAAUCCAUAGGUUAAUGAGGCGAACCGGGGGAACUGAAACAUCUAAGUACCCCGAGGAAAAGAAAUCAACCGAGAUUCCCCCAGUAGCGGCGAGCGAACGGGGAGGAGCCCAGAGCCUGAAUCAGUGUGUGUGUUAGUGGAAGCGUCUGGAAAGGCGCGCGAUACAGGGUGACAGCCCCGUACACAAAAAUGCACAUGCUGUGAGCUCGAUGAGUAGGGCGGGACACGUGGUAUCCUGUCUGAAUAUGGGGGGACCAUCCUCCAAGGCUAAAUACUCCUGACUGACCGAUAGUGAACCAGUACCGUGAGGGAAAGGCGAAAAGAACCCCGGCGAGGGGAGUGAAAAAGAACCUGAAACCGUGUACGUACAAGCAGUGGGAGCACAGAGCAAUCUGUGUGACUGCGUACCUUUUGUAUAAUGGGUCAGCGACUUAUAUUCUGUAGCAAGGUUAACCGAAUAGGGGAGCCGAAGGGAAACCGAGUCUUAACUGGGCGUUAAGUUGCAGGGUAUAGACCCGAAACCCGGUGAUCUAGCCAUGGGCAGGUUGAAGGUUGGGUAACACUAACUGGAGGACCGAACCGACUAAUGUUGAAAAAUUAGCGGAUGACUUGUGGCUGGGGGUGAAAGGCCAAUCAAACCGGGAGAUAGCUGGUUCUCCCCGAAAGCUAUUUAGGUAGCGCCUCGUGAAUUCAUCUCCGGGGGUAGAGCACUGUUUCGGCAAGGGGGUCAUCCCGACUUACCAACCCGAUGCAAACUGCGAAUACCGGAGAAUGUUAUCACGGGAGACACACGGCGGGUGCUAACGUCCGUCGUGAAGAGGGAAACAACCCAGACCGCCAGCUAAGGUCCCAAAGUCAUGGUUAAGUGGGAAACGAUGUGGGAAGGCCCAGACAGCCAGGAUGUUGGCUUAGAAGCAGCCAUCAUUUAAAGAAAGCGUAAUAGCUCACUGGUCGAGUCGGCCUGCGCGGAAGAUGUAACGGGGCUAAACCAUGCACCGAAGCUGCGGCAGCGACGCUGAUGCGUUGUUGGGUAGGGGAGCGUUCUGUAAGCCUGUGAAGGUGUGCUGUGAGGCAUGCUGGAGGUAUCAGAAGUGCGAAUGCUGACAUAAGUAACGAUAAAGCGGGUGAAAAGCCCGCUCGCCGGAAGACCAAGGGUUCCUGUCCAACGUUAAUCGGGGCAGGGUGAGUCGACCCCUAAGGCGAGGCCGAAAGGCGUAGUCGAUGGGAAACAGGUUAAUAUUCCUGUACUUGGUGUUACUGCGAAGGGGGGACGGAGAAGGCUAUGUUGGCCGGGCGACGGUUGUCCCGGUUUAAGCGUGUAGGCUGGUUUUCCAGGCAAAUCCGGAAAACUAAGGCUGAGGCGUGAUGACGAGGCACUACGGUGCUGAAGCAACAAAUGCCCUGCUUCCAGGAAAAGCCUCUAAGCAUCAGGUAACAUCAAAUCGUACCCCAAACCGACACAGGUGGUCAGGUAGAGAAUACCAAGGCGCUUGAGAGAACUCGGGUGAAGGAACUAGGCAAAAUGGUGCCGUAACUUCGGGAGAAGGCACGCUGAUAUGUAGGUGAAGUCCCUCGCGGAUGGAGCUGAAAUCAGUCGAAGAUACCAGCUGGCUGCAACUGUUUAUUAAAAACACAGCACUGUGCAAACACGAAAGUGGACGUAUACGGUGUGACGCCUGCCCGGUGCCGGAAGGUUAAUUGAUGGGGUCAGCGCAAGCGAAGCUCUUGAUCGAAGCCCCGGUAAACGGCGGCCGUAACUAUAACGGUCCUAAGGUAGCGAAAUUCCUUGUCGGGUAAGUUCCGACCUGCACGAAUGGCG
rnacentral:rRNA from 1 species